rnacentral:rRNA from 1 species
UACAGAGGUGGCAAGCGUUGUUCGGAAUUACUGGGCGUAAAGGGCGCGUAGGCGGCCAUCUAAGUCAGACGUGAAAUCCCCCGGCUUAACCUGGGAACUGCGUCUGAUACUGGACGGCUUGAGUAUGGGAGAGGGAUGUAGAAUUCCAGGUGUAGCGGUGAAAUGCGUAGAUAUCUGGAGGAAUACCGGUGGCGAAGGCGGCAUCCUGGACCAUCACUGACGCUGAGGCGCGAAAGCUAGGGGAGCAAACGGG